CGCCUGUUUAUCAAAAACAUGGCUCUCUGUAUAUUGAAGAUAGAGAGUCGGACCUGCCCGGUGAAUUUUUUAACGGCCGCGGUACUCUGACCGUGCAAAGGUAGCAUAAUCAUUUGCCUUAUAAUUGAAGGCUAGAAUGAAUGGUUUGACAAGAAUACAACUGUCUCUUUACAAUUACAUAAAAUUUUAUCUGCAGUUGAAGAAGCCUGCAUUUGAAUAAAAGACAAGAAGACCCUAUCGAGCUUAAAAAAAACUGGUGGAAUAACAAACUUAAUCCUAACUUAUAAAUAAAUAAAUAGUCAACUACUGGAAAUUUUGGUUGGGGCGACCGGGGAUCAAAGGGAAACUUCCUUUAUAAAAAUUUAGAUGCCCAAAUAUUGAUCCAGCAUUAUAUGAUUAAAGAAAUUAGUUACCUUUUGAUAACAGCAUUAUCUUUUUUAAGAGUUCUUAUGGAAAGCACUUUGUGACCUCGAUGUUGGACCAGAAUAUCCUAAAGAUGCAGCCGUCUUUAAGG
rnacentral:rRNA from 1 species